rnacentral:misc_RNA from 1 species
GGCAGUAUAGUCCGAACUGCAAAUCUUAUUUUCUUUUCACCUUCUCUCUAACUGCC